UUAUUAGAUUAUUGACAGUAGUGUCACAGAAUAACAUUUUAUUUGAAUUUAACCAGAAGUCCUACUCUUGACAUAUCAAAAUGCUGAUAACACUUGUUUAGCGAUCUGGAAACAACUUCGUUGCAUAAAUUGAUAUGGCUUGGCCGCGCUCAUUUCAGAUAGCUAAACAAGUGUAAUGUGGAGAGUGGAGCUUCUGGUUAAAUUAUUAUUCUGUGGUAG